rnacentral:tRNA from 1 species
GCCUGGAUGGCUCAGUCGGUUGAGCGUCUGACUUCGGCUCAGGUCAUGAUCUCACAGUUCGUGGGUUCGAACCCCGCAUUGGGCU